rnacentral:rRNA from 1 species
UAAGGAAUAUUGCACAAUGGGGGAAACCCUGAUGCAGCAACGCCGCGUGAGUGAUGAAGGCCUUCGGGUUGUAAAACUCUUUUCUGCGGGAUGAGGAAGGACAGUACCGCAGGAAUAAGUCUCGGCUAACCACGUGCCAGCAGCCGCGGUAAGACGUAGGAGGCAAGCGUUAUCCGGAUUCAUUGGGCGUAAAGGGCAAGUAGGCGGUGGCCAAAGUUGGGCGUGACAAUUCCCGGCUUAACUGGGAAGGGUCGUUCAAAACUAGGUCACUAGAGAGCAGGAGAGGGAGGCGGAAUUCCGAGUGUAGCGGUGGAAUGCUCAGAUACUCGGAGGAACACCCGUGGCGAAAGCGGCCUUCUGGCCUGUGUCUGACGCUGAGAGGCGAAAGCUAGGGGAGCAAACGG